rnacentral:rRNA from 1 species
UACAGAGGUCCCAAGCGUUGUUCGGAUUCAUUGGGCGUAAAGGGUGCGUAGGCGGCGCGGUAAGUCGGGUGUGAAAUCUCGGGGCUUAACUCCGAAACUGCAUUCGAUACUGCCGUGCUUGAGGACUGGAGAGGAGACUGGAAUUUACGGUGUAGCGGUGAAAUGCGUAGAUAUCAUGAGGAAGACCAGUGGCGAAGGCGGGUCUCUGGACAGUUCCCGACACUGAGACACGAAGGCCAGGGGAGCAAACGGG